CCUGCAAUUCCAUGGACGGCAUCGAUGGCCGAGACAUGCGCCCAAGCUGACGAGGACAUUGCCGGGUCCAACCUCAACCUCCACUAUGAGGUUGUCCACCACGACUCCCAGCAGGAGGAGAAGGUAUCGAGCAGAGUAGAAGGGGUUCAAUGAAUGGCAUCGGUGAGGAGGAAGAAGACCACCGGGAUAUGAGGGAUCCCACGCCCAAUGAGCUCGACGACCUGGCGGAACCUCUAUGUACUGCUAGCCUUGCACAAUAUUAGGAGCAUGGCGCCCUCGAUGCCGAGCAGGGUGCCGAUGACCUUGGCCUGGCCGGUGAACAUCCGGAUGUCGCUCUUCGCCCCUGCCUCCUCCUCUCCUCUCCCCCAGCAUGUGGA